rnacentral:rRNA from 1 species
ACUCCUACGGGAGGCAGCAGUAGGGAAUUUUCCACAAUGGGCGAAAGCCUGAUGGAGCAACACCGCGUGCAGGAUGAAGACUUUCGGGUCGUAAACUGCUUUCAGCAGGGACGAAGCGUGAGUGACGGUACCAGCAGAAGAAGCCCCGGCUAACUCCGUGCCAGCAGCCGCGGUAAU